GGGGUUGUGGCUCAGUGGUAGAGCGCUCACCUAGCAUGUGCAAGGCUCUGGGUUCGAUCCUCAGCACCA
rnacentral:tRNA from 1 species